rnacentral:rRNA from 1 species
UACGAAGGGUGCAAGCGUUACUCGGAAUUACUGGGCGUAAAGGGCGCGUAGGCGGUCCGCUAAGUUCGGCGUGAAAUCCCCUGGCUCAACUGGGGAACGGCGCUGGAUACUGGUGGACUCGAGUACCGGAGAGGAGAGUGGAAUUCCUGGUGUAGCGGUGAAAUGCGUAGAUAUCAGGAGGAACACCGGUGGCGAAGGCGGCUCUCUGGACGGAUACUGACGCUGAGGCGCGAAAGCGUGGGGAUCAAACAGG